UGAAAGUUGGGAGAGAGCGCGAGAGAUAAAGGGAGAGGCGCACCUCCUCUCCCUCCCUUACGAAACGUAUCUGGGGAAGGGGAGGGGGCUUCUCCCCCACCACCUCGGGCAGGGAGGAUGGAAGUUAAUGCUGGGGAAAGUGGGCAAGUGACUCGCAAGUGGCUGGGGAGCGGCUGGGGCACCGGGGACCGCACUAAAUCAUAAGUGUGCGAGUGUGAAAGAGGAACAAAAGAAAGAGAGAGGUGCCUGGUAUUUCUUUUUCUCUUCCCAAACACACGAAGGGUGUACAUGGGUAGAUGUAUGCGCUGUGUAUUUAUAUACGCACACGGGCACGCACGCACGUAUGUACUGAAGGACGUGGAGAAGUGCGGGCUGCGAGGGGGCAAUGCUCGCCGGAGAGGGGUGUGAAGGAGCCCAGGGUUGUUUUUCGGUCGGAAGCGGCGGGAGGUGGCGGCUGCCGGGAUAUACCGGUUGAAUGUGCCGUGGGUUCCCGUGUGCGAAGGCCUCUUCAGCGCUCAGCGGAGUUUGUGUUUUCCGUCGCUCCUGCACUUUGUGUGAUUGUGUGCGAGAGAUAUUUAAAAUAUAAUCAUCUCCCAA